rnacentral:lncRNA from 1 species
AUUUAUCUUCCAGACUCCAAGUUAGUACUCUACCUACUGCACCACCCAGCUGUUCACUCUCUACUAAUAAUGAUCAAUUCAAUGAGUGGGAAUAAAAGCAAGGUGGGGAUGCUUCUCCUUUCACCAAGGCAGAAGAGCAGUAAAGGCUGUGUAAUUUCAAGUACUCAGUUAUAUGACUUUGGGCAGUGUUUUUGUUUAGUAAUUUUUAGUCAUAUCCUACUCUUCUUGAUGUGUUCUGGGGGUUUUCUUGGCCAAGAUUCUGAAGUGAUUUACAAUUUUCUUCUCCAACUUAUUUUCAGACAUGAACUCUGAACAGGGAUCUCAAGAAAUGAAUGUUCCCACUCUUAGGACUCCCCAUCUGAGACUGAGUUGGAGAGUUCCAAGUUUCCUGAGUCAAAUCUAAGUGUUCAAAAGAACUUUCUGCUCUGACAGGACUUCUUCCAGGAGAAGCAGCAUUACCAUUACAGCUGAAAUGACUAAAAAGUCCCCAAGUCAUGCCUGGCUGGCCAGAAGGUGGACUUUGUAACUUUCUCUGGCAAACAGAUAGAAAAGAAAUGUGAAACAAAUAGCUUUAACACUCUCACAGAGUUCCUUUGUUUUUUAGGAAGAUUAAAAUGAAGGCAAUGUGUUAUU